AAACACAUGCAAGACGAACGAGCGAGAGAGAGCUUGCUUUCUCGAGCGAGUGGCGAACGGGUGAGUAACGCGUGAGGAACCUGCCUCAAAGAGGGGGACAACAGUUGGAAACGACUGCUAAUACCGCAUAACCCCACAGCUCGGCAUCGAGCAGAGGGAAAAGGAGCAAUCCGCUUUGAGAUGGCCUCGCGUCCGAUUAGCUAGUUGGUGAGGUAACGGCCCACCAAGGCGACGAUCGGUAGCCGGACUGAGAGGUUGAACGGCCACAUUGGGACUGAGACACGGCCCAGACUCCUACGGGAGGCAGCAGUGGGGAAUAUUGCACAAUGGGGGAAACCCUGAUGCAGCGACGCCGCGUGGAGGAAGAAGGUCUUCGGAUUGUAAACUCCUGUUGUUGAGGAAGAUAAUGACGGUACUCAACAAGGAAGUGACGGCUAACUACGUGCCAGCAGCCGCGGUAAAACGUAGGUCACAAGCGUUGUCCGGAAUUACUGGGUGUAAAGGGAGCGCAGGCGGGAAGGCAAGUUGGAAGUGAAAUCCAUGGGCUCAACCCAUGAACUGCUUUCAAAACUGUUUUUCUUGAGUAGUGCAGAGGUAGGCGGAAUUCCCGGUGUAGCGGUGGAAUGCGUAGAUAUCGGGAGGAACACCAGUGGCGAAGGCGGCCUACUGGGCACCAACUGACGCUGAGGCUCGAAAGUGUGGGUAGCAAACAGGAUUAGAUACCCUGGUAGUCCACACUGUAAACGAUGAUUACUAGGUGUGGGAGGAUUGACCCCUUCAGUGCCGCAGUUAACACAAUAAGUAAUCCACCUGGGGAGUACGACCGCAAGGUUGAAACUCAAAGGAAUUGACGGGGGCCCGCACAAGCAGUGGAGUAUGUGGUUUAAUUCGACGCAACGCGAAGAACCUUACCAAGUCUUGACAUCCUGCGACGGUGCUGGAAACAGUACUUUCCUUCGGGACGCAGAGACAGGUGGUGCAUGGUUGUCGUCAGCUCGUGUCGUGAGAUGUUGGGUUAAGUCCCGCAACGAGCGCAACCCUUAUGGUCAGUUACUACGCAAGAGGACUCUGGCCAGACUGCCGUUGACAAAACGGAGGAAGGUGGGGAUGACGUCAAAUCAUCAUGCCCUUUAUGACUUGGGCUACACACGUACUACAAUGGCGUUAAACAAAGAGAAGCAAGACCGCGAGGUGGAGCAAAACUCAGAAACAACGUCCCAGUUCGGACUGCAGGCUGCAACUCGCCUGCACGAAGUCGGAAUUGCUAGUAAUCGCAGAUCAGCAUGCUGCGGUGAAUACGUUCCCGGGCCUUGCACA
rnacentral:rRNA from 1 species